GUGCGUGCGUGUGCGUGCGCGCGCGCGCGGCCGUCUGUAGUCUAGACGAGGAAUAAUCAACCUCCCUUUCGAGGCUAAGUGAUUUUUUUCAAGCGCUGUUCUUGUUAAAGUGUGUGGGUGUAUAACACACACAUAUAUAUAUAGUAUUUAUAUAUAGACUACUAUCCGAGAGAUUGAUCUUAGUGUUAUGACAGCAGUGUAGUCUACAGUAAUUAACAUCCAGAAUAUUGUGUUUGAAUAUUGGCGGCGAUGUAAUUAUAAUUUUAAUGCGUCCCACUAAGAUUUCGUGAUGUCAAAAGUCCACCGACACAUAUUUGCAAACAACAAGCCGUUUGUAGAAUAUCAUUUUGCUGAAGGCUGCUCGACCUUGGCUCAUGUAAAUAUUUCGUCACAUGUAACAAUCCCUCUCCUCCAUAAUUCCGUUCCUCUUAGUGCGGGGUUUCCGGUUUGGGAUGCACGCUUUCCUUGACACUGAGCCCCCUCUGUCGGUCACAGAGAUGAACAGCAGGGUUUUACCGAGAGGUUCACCGGGGGACACGCACACCGGCUGCCCUACAUAAAAUGCACCCAUUGUAGGCCGGUGUCAGCUGAGGACGACUUGCAACCUAGAAACGGCGCUUUGGCCCCGCCUCCCCUUUGUCGCGCGCAUUGUAAGCGUUAGCCAGAGGUCUUCUGAGGUGUUCUCACACCCCCCCCCCACCCCUUGAAAACAGAUCGUAAAAUUGGCAUGGACCCCAGAACGCGCUUUUCUCCGUUUUCAUCAACCCCUGUCGAGACCCUCAUCAAAGGCCCUGUGAAUGACAUCAUCAGAGCCCUUUGUAAACAGUUGCUAGGAGUUCGUUUCAGACAGUCCUGCUCUCGAGGCGAUCGAGUCUCACAAAACGGGCUAAAGACUGAGUUUGGUCUUUAUUGUGAACACAGGCUGAAAGCGCGAAACGCUAAAUCUCGGAGUAAUAACGCUCCGCAGAAGCACACUUCGAAACUUACUUUGUGAAUUGUAGUCUACAGCAACACAAACUUUGUGAGAUGGCAGAUCAGAAAAACUGCUCGUCACCGGGAGCGCGGAGAGCGUGCACGGACCCUUGCGCGCGCGCUCGUACCUACUGUACCUGGAGAUCACGAUACUCUUCGGGUCUUUCAGCACAUGGAUCAGAUUCUUCAGGAUAAAUAUCUGGAGAGCAUUUAUGUUCAUUCUGAAGUCACAGGGAUCUGUCAGGCUUCAGUGGCAUCACACUGUUUCCAGAUCAGUGUUGUGAUGUCUCAUAGACAUAGAGAGGAAAAGCUGCUUCUGGAUCAACAUGAGGAUGUGAAAUAUAAUCAGUACACACACUGGAAGUUAAGUAUGGGAACAAAACCACUUUAAACUAACAAACAGAGACACAACUUGCUUCUUAGUUAUGACGAAUGAUUUGUCAUUAACAGUAGGCUACACAUCGUCAUGUAAUGUGAACAGUAUAUCUUUAAAAUCUAGUCCUCCUCUUUUCCCCCUUCCUCUUCCUCUGAGCAUUUCCUUUGCUCUUAUUUUUCACUUUACUCAUUUGACAAAUCAAAGCACGACACAACUAGUCAGACUAGAUCACAUUUAGAUUUAUUGUAGACCCACCCAGAGUGGAAGAGUUAAAGUAACAAGUUUCUCUCAAAAGUUUGCGUCUAGACUCUGACUGAAGUAUCUUGUGUUUGGGCAGCUCAGGAACACAUCACCCAUGACGCGCUGGAAGCGGUGUUGGUUUAUUACACGUAGCUAAUGUUUACGCAGAGGCCCGGCUGCUGCUCGUCAUGAAGUACACUUAUUAUGACCACCGCCGCGGCUUUCAAAGACUUGACGGCCGUUAUAUGAACCCCAAGAAGGGGAGUGAGUAAGGAAAAGAGGAAUUUACCGUCUCGUCCUGAAUUCUGCAGAUGUUCGGUCAAGUCACAGCCGAAUGCAGUCUCAGUUCCCUUCCUUUUGGACUUCAGCUUGGCAGCCUUGUUCUUCAUCAGGCUUCAGUAACUAAUCCAGACCAGAGGAAAUACACCUUCAAAUCAACCAUUGGCCCCACAGCGCAUGGGACGGGAAGGGGAGAUGUGUCCCUAGGAAGUCCACGGUGUUAAACAAAAGAAAUCAUCCGCUCACAUCUUGACCGAGCCACCGGAGAACUGCUGUGGGAGAAGAAUUCAGGAGCACACCCAACACACACCCAACCUUACUUCAUCACCAGACUCUCGUCUAUCUCUCUAUCUAUCUCUCUAUCUAUCUCUCUAUCUAUCUAUCUAUCUAUCUAUCUAUCUAUCUAUCUAUCUAUCUAUCUAUCUAUCUAUCUCUCUCUCUCUCUCUCUCUCUCUCUCUAUCUAUCUAUCUAUCUAUCUAUCUAUCUAUCUAUCUAUCUAUCUCUCUCUCUCUCUCUAUCUAUCUAUCUAUCUAUCUAUCUAUCUAUCUAUCUAUCUAUCUAUCUAUCUAUCUCUCCGUCUGUGUGGAGGUCAUCUUGCUGGUGUUGAGUGGAGGCUUGAAAUGUCAGAACUUUUUCUUUGUGAAGGGGAGGGCAGAGGAGCGAGGGGAGGGGACAGAAAUAGCGGACUGCUUUUUCUUCAUCUGUUCAGUCAAUACUGAACCCCUUUCACCCCCCCAAAUCACCCCACCCCGCUUUCUCUCUUCCUCCCUCCCUUUUUUUUCUUUUUUUGUGACCAUGGCUCCGACAGGAAACCUGCUCUCUGCCUUCCUGAAUGCUUCCAGAAUACACAGUUUCCUGUGAAGGGAAACAAAAGCAGAGCGAGAGCAGAACAUCGGGGAGAGAGACGGCAGAAAGAGACAGACGAGAGGACAGAGCAGAUGAACACAAGGUUCCCGUUAACCACGGCUUGUGGAGUGUUUCUAACACUGCAGCCUCUUUAUGCACUAAAACUAGCAGAUUACAUUUGCCUGAAUUGUUUUUUCAUAAAUAAAUAAAGUGUUAUUUUUUUUUCUAACCUAAAUCUGUUAAUCCUUAGUUUUUGUGUUUAUUUUUUCAAAUGCCUUUUACAGAUUUUGUUGCUUUACCCUGGAUCCAGAAUUCCAGCAUUGAAAUAUAUAACCCUUCAGACCAUUUGAA